GGAGGGGGCAAGCGUUGUUCAGAAUUACUGGGCGUAAAGGGCGCGUAGGCGGCCUGCCAAGUCAGGGGUGAAAGGCCCGGGCUCAACCCGGGAACUGCCCUUGAAACUGGCAAGCUAGAGUCCGAGAGAGGAUGACGGAAUUCCCAGUGUAGAGGUGAAAUUCGUAGAUAUUGGGAAGAACACCGGUGGCGAAGGCGGCCAUCUGGCUCGGUACUGACGCUGAGGCGCGAAAGCGUGGGGAGCAAACAGGAUUAGAUACCCUGGUAGUCCACGCCGUAAACGAUGUGUGCUAGACGUUGGAGGUCUUAGGCCUUCGGUGUCGCAGCUAACGCGUUAAGCACACCGCCUGGGGAGUACGGCCGCAAGGUUA
rnacentral:rRNA from 1 species